UACGGAGGGUGCAAGCGUUAAUCGGAAUUACUGGGCGUAAAGCAUGCGUAGGUGGUUCGUUAAGUCCGUUGUGAAAGCCCCGAGCUCAACUUGGGAAUUGCAGUGGAUACUGGCGAGCUGGAGUGCGGUAGAGGAAGGUGGAAUUCCCGGUGUAGCGGUGAAAUGCGUAGAGAUCGGGAGGAACACCAGAGGCGAAGGCGGCGACCUGGACAGGUACUGACACUCAACUACGAAAGCGUGGGGAGCAAACAGG
rnacentral:rRNA from 1 species